UACGGAGGGGGCGAGCGUUGUUCGGAAUCAUUGGGCGUAAAGGGCGCGUAGGCGGCCGUCCAAGUCGGGUGUGAAAUCCCUCGGCUCAACCGAGGAACUGCACUCGAUACUGGUCGGCUAGAGUCCGGGAGGGGAUGGUGGAAUUCCCAGUGUAGCGGUGAAAUGCGUAGAUAUUGGGAAGAACACCGGUGGCGAAGGCGGGUCUCUGGGCCGUAACUGACGCUGAGGAGCGAAAGCGUGGGGAGCGAACAGG
rnacentral:rRNA from 1 species